AGAAAACAAAUAAGAUAAGAAAUUUGAAAAAAAAUCCUCUAUCUCUUUCUCUCUCGACGGAAACCCUAAAAAAUGGGGAACCGCCGCCUCCUUCUUCCUCCGCCACCACGACCCUAUUCUGCUCCGCCACUACAAAUUUCCGGCGACCAGUCACAAAAAUCCCUAAAGCAAAUACCCAACCAUACAACUCCCAGAUGGCACGAAAGUUUACCCAUAUCCCCUAGACGAAUUCUAAAAAAUUUGGAAACGAUGAAGAACAAAAAUCAGCGGAAACGAAGCGAAUUAGACAUCAAUCAAAUAUAGAGAAGAAGGAAGAGGAGUAAAAUCGAAGGAAUGUGAAGUGAAAACCCUCAAUGACCGACCGAAAUCAAAGCUUCAAGAAUUUAUGCAGGAAUUUUGUGGAUUUGAUGAACACUUGGAACGAAAUAGAAGUUUCUCAGAAAGAAAAAAAGUAUUUCCAUUCCUAUACAACUCCAAAGAAUCCACAGAGAGGGAGCUCAAAGCAUAAAAGCACAGCAUAAAGGAAGAUGAGACAUUCAACUUUUCAAAGAAUUCCACCAAUAAGAAGAUGAGUACCUGAACUUGAAUGCGAUAAGUCCUUCAAUGGCAAACUCUUGAGUAGUACAGAUUUUCUAAGUUUCUUCAUUGAUAGUUAAGUUUUAUGUUGGUACCAGAGAGAUAUUCUAGAAUAAAAUGACAUGAAAGAUCAAUAAAAAAGAUAAAACUUAGGGUGUAAAGAACUACUUCUAAAUCAUGAUGACCAUAACUAUGCAGUGAAAUGAGGUAUUUAGGACAAAGAAGAAGUGUAAAAAGAAGUAAGAACAAUAGAAAUGUAAGAAAUCAGAGAAAAAUGAUAAGGGGAAUGCCAUAUAUAUUUAAGGAUUAGAGCCACACAUAUACCAAGAACACCUUUCAGAUCAUCUAUGUAUCAAGUGUCUAAACAUAUCAAGUCUAGGUUUAAAAAAGGAUUCUUGGAAAUAUUGAUGAAUUAGGCUGUAAAUUUUUCAAAAAGCUAAUUCAUUUUUAUCUUAAGACAGUCAAUACUGUCUGAAUGUUCAAAUGUAUAACCCUAAAGAAUCUUAUGUUGCAAUUAAAUAAUGUAUACACACUAAUUUGUGUUCAAAUAUAAGUUUCUUUAACAUAUUUCACUUAAUGAAAUUCUCAAUGUUUUGUCUUAGAAAUUUUCCAAAACAUUCAAUUAGUAAAUGCUAAAUGAUGGUAAAUAAUGAUAUAGGUGUUGAUCUGUGUUUCUAUAUGUUUGUUAAUGUUGGAUAUGAUUCAUAUUAUCUGAAUCAACAGCCUCUGUGUUAAACUUUGGUGAAGACAUGACAGAAAGAAAAAAGAGGCCUAUAUCAGUUUCAGCAGCAUGAAACAAUGCAACAAAAGGAGAGACAUCAAUGAAUGGUUCAAGAAUGCCAAGAACAUACUUCACCGAAAUGCAAUAUUUAAACAAAAGGAUACAAAGCAAUAAAGGCAAGAAGAUGCACAUGUAUCAGCAAAAUGAAAAAAUGAUAGAAAUGCAGAGACAUAAGUGAGAAGCAAGGGGUUGCUAUAUGAAUAUUUCAGAAAAUGGAGUGCAAAGGGGAUUCAAUACAACCCCAAAAAGCAGCCGCCAGCCACUCUAUUCAAAGGAAAAAGUAAGAGACAAAAUAAAUUGGCAUACCCUGCUACCUACAGAGAAGCUACAAAAGAUCUGAAAAUAGAUCCUUCCACAAUAACCUCUUCAAGUCUAUCAAGAGAGGGAGCAGGCCCAACAAAGCAAAUUAAAAGGUUAUGAACUAAUUUAUGGAAGAGAAGCAACUCAUGAAGAAACAAAAAAUCAGCCACAAAUAUAAGAACAACUACUUCUAAGGGAUGGUUUGCAUUGGAAACAGGUUUAAUACCCCAAAAUAUUGCUUAGCAAGUGAGAUAUAUGUAUUUAUUAAUCUGUGUCCUCUCUCUCUGUCUCUAUCUCUCUCUCUCUCUCUCUCUCUCUCAGUUUCUCUCUCGCCCCUGCAUCUUUUAUAUAACUGAUUCUAUAUCUAUUUCUCUCUCCUGUCCUACAUUCCAUUUUCGAAUUAUGUAGAUGAAAAUAUUGGAUU